rnacentral:rRNA from 1 species
CCUACGGGGGGCAGCAGUGAGGAAUAUUGGUCAAUGGGCUUACGCCUGAACCAGCCAAGUCGCGUGAGGGAAGACUGCCCUAUGGGUUGUAAACCUCUUUUGUCAGGGAGCAAUUGGCGCUACGUGUAGCGUUAUCGAGAGUACCUGAAGAAAAAGCAUCGGCUAACUCCGUGCCAGCAGCCGCGGUAAUACGGAGGAUGCGAGCGUUAUCCGGAUUUAUUGGGUUUAAAGGGUGCGUAGGCGGAAUGCCAAGUCAGCGGUAAAAUCGCGGGGCUCAACCUCGCUCCGCCGUUGAAACUGGCGGUCUUGAGUGGGCGAGAAGUAUGCGGAAUGCGUGGUGUAGCGGUGAAAUGCAUAGAUAUCACGCAGAACUCCGAUUGCGAAGGCAGCAUACCGGCGCCCAACUGACGCUGAAGCACGAAAGCGUGGGUAUCGUACAGGAUUAGAUACCCGUGUAGUC